UAGAGUUUGAUCCUGGCUCAGGAUGAACGCUGGCGGUAUGCCUAACACAUGCAAGUCGUACGAGAGUUUUUAACUCUAGUGGCGGACGGGUGAGUAACACGUGAGAAUUUGCCUUUAGGAGGGGGAUAACAAUUGGAAACGAAUGCUAAUACCCCAUAUGCUUUCGAGUGAAAUGGAUUUAUAUUUAUCCGCCUAGAGAGAAGCUCGCGGCUGAUUAGCUUGUUGGUAAGGUAAGAGCUUACCAAGGCGACGAUCAGUAUCUGGUUUGAGAGGACGAUCAGACACACUGGAACUGAGACACGGUCCAGACUCCUACGGGAGGCAGCAGUGGGGAAUUUUCCGCAAUGGGCGAAAGCCUGACGGAGCAAUACCGCGUGAGGGAAGACUGCCUAUGGGUUGUAAACCUCUUUUUUCAGGGAGGAAUCAAUGACGUGUACCUGAAGAAUAAGCAUCGGCUAACUCCGUGCCAGCAGCCGCGGUAAGACGGAGGAUGCAAGUGUUAUCCGGAAUCACUGGGCGUAAAGCGUCUGUAGGUGGUUUAAUAAGUCAACUGUUAAAUCUUGAGGCUCAACUUCAAAAUCGCAGUCAAAACUAUUAGACUAGAGUAUAGUAGAGGUAAAGGGAAUUUCCAGUGGAGCGGUGAAAUGCGUAGAUAUUGGAAAGAACACCGAUGGCGAAAGCACUUUACUGGGCUAU
rnacentral:rRNA from 1 species